rnacentral:rRNA from 1 species
UGCAGUCGAACGGUAGCCAGAGAGCUUGCUCUCGGGUGACGAGUGGCGGACGGGUGAGGAAUGUCUGGGAAACUGCCUGAUGGAGGGGGAUAACUACUGGAAACGGUAGCUAAUACCGCAUAACGUCGCAAGACCAAAGAGGGGGACCUUCGGGCCUCUUGCCAUCAGAUGUGCCCAGAUGGGAUUAGCUAGUAGGUGGGGUAACGGCUCACCUAGGCGACGAUCCCUAGCUGGUCUGAGAGGAUGACCAGCCACACUGGAACUGAGACACGGUCCAGACUCCUACGGGAGGCAGCAGUGGGGAAUAUUGCACAAUGGGCGCAAGCCUGAUGCAGCCAUGCCGCGUGUAUGAAGAAGGCCUUCGGGUUGUAAAGUACUUUCAGCGGGGAGGAAGGUGUUGUGGUUAAUAACCGCAGCAAUUGACGUUACCCGCAGAAGAAGCACCGGCUAACUCCGUGCCAGCAGCCGCGGUAAUACGGAGGGUGCAAGCGUUAAUCGGAAUUACUGGGCGUAAAGCGCACGCAGGCGGUCUGUCAAGUCGGAUGUGAAAUCCCCGGGCUCAACCUGGGAACUGCAUUCGAAACUGGCAGGCUAGAGUCUUGUAGAGGGGGGUAGAAUUCCAGGUGUAGCGGUGAAAUGCGUAGAGAUCUGGAGGAAUACCGGUGGCGAAGGCGCAUCCCCUGCUACAAAGACUGACGCUCGUGUGCGAAAGCGUGG